AACGAACGCUGGCGGCAUGCCUAACACAUGCAAGUCGAACGAGACCUUCGGGUCUAGUGGCGCACGGGUGCGUAACGCGUGGGAACCUGCCCUUAGGUUCGGAAUAACUCCCCGAAAGGGGUGCUAAUACCGGAUAAUGUCUUCGGACCAAAGAUUUAUCGCCUUUGGAUGGGCCCGCGUUGGAUUAGCUAGUUGGUAGGGUAAAAGCCUACCAAGGCGAAGAUCCAUAGCUGGUCUGAGAGGAUGAUCAGCCACACUGGGACUGAGACACGGCCCAGACCUCUACGGGAGGAAGGAGUGGGGAAUAUUGGACAAUGGGCGAAAGCCUGAUGCAGCAAUGCCGCGUGAGUGAUGAAGGCCUUAGGGUUGUAAAGCUCUUUUACCCGGGAUGAUAAUGACAGUACCGGGAGAAUAAGCGCCGGCUAACUCCGUG
rnacentral:rRNA from 1 species